UACGGAGGGAGCUAGCGUUGUUCGGAAUUACUGGGCGUAGAGCGCACGUAGGCGGCUUUGUAAGUUAGAGGUGAAAGCCCAGGGCUCAACCCUGGAAUUGCCUUUAAGACUGCAUCGCUUGAACAUCGGAGAGGUAAGUGGAAUUCCGAGUGUAGAGGUGAAAUUCGUAGAUAUUCGGAAGAACACCAGUGGCGAAGGCGACUUACUGGACGAUUGUUGACGCUGAGGUGCGAAAGCGUGGGGAGCAAACAGG
rnacentral:rRNA from 1 species